CGUGGCUCUUUGCAAAGAGAGCCGAGUCGGUCGUGGUUUUUGUCCAUUAGGUUUCGAUGGGAGUGUGUUGGACUCCCAUGCCGGCAAUGGAUAACGGGAGUUUUGGGACUGACUCCGGAGAAAACGCCUGAGAGACGGCGUUUAGACCUAUGGGUUGCAGCAGUUACGAAACUUGCCCCAUGCUCCUCGAGCGAGGCAGUGACGGGGAUUACCGUGUUCCGGCUCUAUUGGGUUGGGACUUCGGGAUGGGUCCGGUGGAAACGUCCGGGCGAGGAUCGAGUCGAGGGCAAGUCUGGUGCCAGCAGCCGCGGUAAUUCCAGCUCGACGAAGGAACAUUAAAUUUGUUGCAGUUAAAAAGCUCGUAGUUGGGAGUCUUUCUUGUUACCUAUGGCGUUGCUGGGGGUCCGCAAGAUCUCCCGGCCGACGCCGCAAGAAAUGGAGGGCGUGGACUCUCUUGCUCCGCAAGGAGGAGGGGAAGGGAAGCGCCCGCGGUUACUGUGAACAAAACGGAGCGUUUGUUGCCGGCUUCAAGCCUGAACGACUCGCACGGAACAACGCCCCUUCCGUCCUCGGAAGCGGAGCGCUGGCUGUCUCUCUCGAGACGAGGUUAACAGGAACGGUCGGGGGUAUUCGUACCGCGGUGUCAGAGGUGAAAUUCUUGGAUUACCGCGUGACGGACGACUGCGAAGGCAUUUACCAAGGAUGUUUUCAUUAAUCAAGAACGAAAGUUUGGGGAUCGAAGAUGAUUAGAUACCAUCGUAGUCCAAACCGUAAACGAUGCCGACUCGGGAUCUCUUUUCUUCUUUUUUAGUGGGAGAAGGGGCACCGCACGGGAAACCAAAGCCUCAGGGUUCCGGGGGAAGUAUGGUGGCAACGCUGAAACUUAAAGAAAUUGACGGAAGGGCACACCAGGAGUGGAGCCUGCGGUUCAAUCUGACCCAACACGGAGAAACUUACCAGGUCCGGACUUCGGGAGGAUUGACAGUCUGAGCGAGCUUUCUUGAUUCGAAGGGUGGUGGUGCAUGGCCGUCCUUAGUUCGUGUUGUGAAAUGUCUGGUCGAUUCCGAUAACGAACGAGACCGGGGUUGCUUUUUCGGUUGGGUUUUCCUUGUGGAAAGCUUGGACGGGAAGAGCGAGACAACCUUUGUUUAGAAGGGGGAGGCACCCGGCGAUGACAGGUCUGUGAUGCCCUUAGAUGUUCUGGGCUACACGCGCGCUACAAUGGUUGGUUCAGUGGGUUUCUUUGGGGUGCCUCGGAAGGGGUGCCGAAUCCGUUGAAUGCCAGCCGUGAUGGGGCUAGAUUCUUGCAAUUAUUAAUCUUCAACGAGGAAUUCCUAGUAUGUGCGAGUCAUCAGCUCGCGCAGAAUGCGUCCCUGCCCUUUGUACACACCGCCCGUCGCAGCUACCGAUGGAGGGGAAGGUGAGGGGUUUGGAUUCCUUUCUUCUUUCGGGAGGGGGGGGAGAAGCUCUCCGAAUCUUAUCCUCUAGAGGAAGCUGAAGUCGUAACAAGGU
rnacentral:rRNA from 1 species